rnacentral:lncRNA from 1 species
UGUGAGUUUUUUGAGAGUGUCUCAUAUCUAAAGCUCCUUCUCCUACUUCUUAUCUGUGAAAGAGUCUAAAUCAAGAAGAAGGAGGCAUCUAAUCAACCAUCGAAGAAGGAUCAGCAUGUACUAGCAUACUGUGCUGAUUUCCUGGAUCAAGACUUCUGUUCGUGAUUCGUGGGCUCGUGUGGAUGACUGCUAGAGGUCAGAUACAUGUACAACUUGCAACAUCAUCCUCAAGCCCGGAUCAACAAAGUUAGAACGU